rnacentral:lncRNA from 1 species
AUGUGGAGCAGCUGGUGGUGGAUAUGCUCAAGUGAUUCCCAUGGAGGAGGUGAGACAACAGUGGAGACAGCAAAACACUGUCCCCUGGGAGGGGUGGGCAGAGCAAAGUAUUUGGAGCAGUGUUUGGUCUUUGGUGACAGUCCUUCUGGAGAGCUGGCAUGGUCUUUACCAUCUUCAUGUGGCUGCUCUGAGAUGUGUCGGGACUGUGGCCCAGGGUUGGAAAGCCACUGCAUGGUUCCUGUAUGUGCUUGUAACAUCCCAGCUGUUAAUCACAUGGCACUGAAUGUGAAAGAAUUGUUUUCUCUGAAUUAAUCUGUAACUUUCCUCUGCCCACAAGCAAAUGGCUUUCUGUUGAAAAUGGUGUUACCGCUACUCUUCAAAGACAUCUGAAAAUCAUGUGCGCUCUUGAAGAAUCUGGCUGGGUGGGUGCUUUUAAAAUACUCCCACUGUGAAAACAGUGGUAAUGUCAGUGAAGCCUUUGUGUUCCUUAGCACAGCAGUCACCAUGCUAAGGCUAAGGGAUCUGCAGACUUAUGAAUGGGCUGAAAUAUAAACCAUGUGUUGUGUUCCUUGUUAGCUGGUGGUUGCCAUCUGCGCUAGAUGCCUCACUCAGCCUCUCCUUUGCCUGUAGUACACUUCACUGUGUGCUCAAGGACAUGUGCACACUGUAGCAGACAGUUGAGUUUUGUUUUCUGGAGAGUAAAAUGCAAGCAUGUUUCCUGAAUGAGGAGGAACAUUAGAAUGGUUUAGUUCAUCUAAUGUGUAUGUUCACUAUGCUUGUUUGGAAACGCACAACGGUUUCACCCCUCUUUGGCUCCUCUGUACAAGAGGAAUGGGGACAUACUGGUGAGAGUCUAGUGCAGGGCCACAGGACUGACUAAGGGACUAGAGAACCUCUCCUUUGAGGAAAUGCAGAGAGAGCCGGGACCGUUCAGUCUAUAAAAGAGAAGGGGAUGAAUCUUAUCAAUGCAUAUAAAUAUGUGAAGGGAAGGUGCAGAGGAAGCGGAGCUCUUUUCAGUGGUGCCCAAUGUCAGGACAAGAAGUAAUGGGCAUAAACUGGAACACAGGAGGUUCCCUCUGAACAUCAGGGAGCAUUUCUGUACUGUGAGAGUGGCAGAACACUGGCACGAGCUGCCUAGCGAGACUAUGUAAUCUUUCUUGAUAAUUGUUGGUGACAUGGAGUUGGUCCUGGGCAAGGAGCGGAGGGAUUGGACAAAUGACAUCCAGAGGUCCUUGCCAACCUGAAGCAGACUGUGGUUCUGAGGAAGGAGAAUUCCAAGCUGAUGAAGUGCCGUAGUGAAAAUGCACAGCUGCUCCAGAGUACUACUCACGCAGUAUUUGGAAACCUUUUGCACUUGAGUACAAUCACAGUCAAGUGCUGGUGUCAGCUGUUGGUGGUGCCUCUUAGCUGUCAGUACUACUACAGCGCAAUUAAAACUGACCUUCCAUAUCUUUGUGUCAGAUACAGAUAUGAAAAAUAAAAUGCCUAUAUAAAGCAAGUCCUGAUCUAAUCUAAAUGGCCUAUUUCAGAUUUUUCCCCACAACUUUGUUGGACAAACUUUGCAUCAGCAAAUUUUGUGCCUGAUCUGGUUCUGCCUGUUCUCCUGUGACUUGCAGAAAGCUGGCAUGAAAUCAGAAAGCCAGCAGGCAUU